AAAUGCUAGAAUGCCUCGUAAAUUUUAUUGCAAACUGCAAAUUGAGUGAAUUUGCAAUCGGAUUUUGUCACAGCAAAAAAAUGUAUAAUGUGACAAUUUUUUUUGUGAUCGGACCAAUGUCCGAUCAAAAUUACUUUUGCCCGGACAUUUGCCAAAUUUAGUCGGACAUUGUCCGAUGUCCGACAGUAAUUUGCAGCCCUGACAUUUUAAGACCUAACCAGGAACGACUGUGCAAAAUGCAGCACAAGGUCCUCUGGUAGGAAAUGAACCUACGGCCCU